rnacentral:rRNA from 1 species
GACGAACGCUGGCGGCGUGCUUAACACAUGCAAGUCGAACGGAAAGGCCCUGCUUUUGUGGGGUGCUCGAGUGGCGAACGGGUGAGUAACACGUGAGUAACCUGCCCUUGACUUUGGGAUAACUUCAGGAAACUGGGGCUAAUACCGGAUAGGAGCUCCGGCUGCAUGGUGGGGGUUGGAAAGUUUCGGCGGUUGGGGAUGGACUCGCGGCUUAUCAGCUUGUUGGUGGGGUAGUGGCUUACCAAGGCUUUGACGGGUAGCCGGCCUGAGAGGGUGACCGGCCACAUUGGGACUGAGAUACGGCCCAGACUCCUACGGGAGGCAGCAGUGGGGAAUAUUGCACAAUGGGCGGAAGCCUGAUGCAGCAACGCCGCGUGCGGGAUGACGGCCUUCGGGUUGUAUACCGCUUUCGCCUGUGACGAAGCGUGAGUGACGGUAAUGGGUAAAGAAGCACCGGCUAACUACGUG